rnacentral:rRNA from 1 species
UCGAGCGGAACGAUGGUAGCUUGCUACCAGGCGUCGAGCGGCGGACGGGUGAGUAAUGCUUAGGAAUCUGCCCAGUAGUGGGGGAUAGCCCGGGGAAACCCGGAUUAAUACCGCAUACGCCCUUUUGGGGAAAGCAGGGGAUCUUCGGACCUUGCGCUAUUGGAUGAGCCUAAGUCGGAUUAGCUAGUUGGUGGGGUAAAGGCUCACCAAGGCGACGAUCCGUAGCUGGUCUGAGAGGAUGAUCAGCCACAUCGGGACUGAGACACGGCCCGAACUCCUACGGGAGGCAGCAGUGGGGAAUAUUGGACAAUGGGGGCAACCCUGAUCCAGCCAUGCCGCGUGUGUGAAGAAGGCUUUCGGGUUGUAAAGCACUUUCAGUGAGGAGGAAGGCCUUAAGAUUAAUACUCUUAAGGAUUGACGUCACUCACAGAAGAAGCACCGGCUAACUCCGUGCCAGCAGCCGCGGUAAUACGGAGGGUGCAAGCGUUAAUCGGAAUUACUGGGCGUAAAGCCCGCGUAGGUGGUUGACUACGCGAGAUGUCAAUGCCCCUCGCUUAAUCUGCGGAACGG